GGGGGAAGGAAAGGUUGAAGGAAAGGAAUGAAGGAAGAGAGGUAUGGUAUGGCAUUAGUGGCCCAGCUUAUAAUCCUAGCAGUCAGGAGGCAAAGAUUGAAAAUGUUCAAAUUUUAAUAAUUUAAAAUAUAAGUAUUCAUCAACUCUGAUAAAUGAUUACUAAUUCAACAAAUUUAAAUAUAUUGAUUAGAUAUGUGUAGACUUAUAGAAUCCAUUCAAUCCAUGUACAAUGCCAUGUAUAGUCAGCAGUUAUUAGUACAGAUAAGUUCUAUUGGAGACUACUUGGAGCAUACUUGGAAAGAUGAAUCCAGAUUAGUAUCCAGAAUCCUUUCCAAAGAUGAUUGUGGGUGCAAUGUAGUAUAUUCUUACCUCAUUUCUCUCUAGAGGGGAGCUCUUGAUGUAAUUCAGGACACAAUAUCCCUAAAAUAUGGCAUGACAACAUUUGGGAAAAUACUCUCAGUUUCCCAAGGCCUUUCUACUGUGAAGCAUGUCUUUAGUGGAACCCUCCCUCUAAAUCUAAGAAAGGAACUAUUUUACCUCUAAAGACAGAGGACACACAGAAAAGUGUACACAAAGAGGCCUUGUUAAAAUGACCCUCCAAUCCCUAUUUAUUAGUAUUAGAUCAUAUUCCUUGUCCAAUCGUAUAUUCCCACAAUUACCCCUUUCUUAGUCCAAUAGCUUUCUUUGGAUCUUCAUAUGCUUAUGCAGGUUACUACACCAUGUCAAAUAUAUAAAAUGUAUUUGCAUUAUUUUCUUUUAUUAAUGUUCCACUUGCUGCUGAGGGCCAUAGCUACAAACCUAACAGUGUAUGCAGAAAGAAAAUUUUUUUCUCCUAUACUCUCUUCAUAUAAGAGACAAGGGUUUUAAAGAAUGGAGAAUCUGACACAGUUUUCAUUUGGAAGAGACAGUUAUUUUCUGAUGAGAAGCUUUUCCCUAAAUGCAUGGUAGCCAUCUCUAAAGUGGUACGGACAGCUGGGCUCCAUGAAUCCCAUCAGUGUCAACUGGAGAAACUGAAAGUUCACCAGAGAUUGAUAUAUCACAAUAUAACAUUUGUGUAGCGAUGAAAAAAGAGAUAUUUUGAGUUUUUCUUACUCUGUAUCAAUGACUAUUAAUGAGUAAGAGUCUCUCUAAAUUUAAAAGCGGGUAGAAAGAACAGGAAGAAAAUUGUUAAAUGGAAAAGCAUGUAAUUAUACCACCAAUGCCACCAUAAU